CAUGGAUUAGAAGUUUGUUUAUUUAAUCAUUCCAAAUGUUUUUCUCUAUCUUUCAAAUGCUAUUGAUAUAAUUAAGUAAUGCAUUUCUGUCUUAUAGACAUUUGUCAUAUUUUCUGAGAUUGAGAAAUAAGAGCACUGUUGGCUGGCUUGUUGAGCCAUGUUGAGAUAGAAAUCAAAGUUCAAAUUAGAAAUACUUUUUUUCUGUUAGUUUUAUGGCUUCAAUCACAUCUUGGUUUCUCUGGCUGUAAAUCAAGGGGUUUAACAUGGGAAUAAUAAUGCCAUAAAACACAGAGGCCACUUUUUCUUGUUUUUGAGACUCAUUAAUACGAUGGCAUAGAUACAUGUAAGAGAGAACCCCAUAGAAAAUGGUGACUGCUGUCAGGUGGGAGGCACAUGUAGAGAGACUUUUUUCUUCCCUGCAGCAGAAGAUAUCCUCAGGAUGGCAACCAGGACAUAUAUGCAGGAAAUGAUGACCACCAUCACAGUGCACAUCAAAUUUAAUCCCACAAAUACUGUUAAUAACAUGAUGUUGAGGUCAAUAUUGGAGCAUGGUAGGGCAAUAAUUGGAGGUUCAUCACAGAAAAAGUGAUUAAUUGUUUUGGAUUUGCAGAAGUUCAAUGAGAAAGUGAAACUUAUGUUUAUAGAGGCAUUUAGGAAACCCAUGACAUAUGAACUAACUAAUAGCUUAAUGCAGAGUCUCUGGGACAUAACCCCUGGAUAAUGGAGUGGGUUACAGAAGGCCACAUAACGGUCUACUGCCAUAGCAGCCAGGAUGUAGCAGUCACUUGUUGCAAAGUACCAUAAACUAGUAAUUGCACCAUACAUCCUAUACAUGAGAUAGAUUUUUUUGUUUCUACAAAGUUUUUCAACAUCUUGGGAGUGAUAGCAGAGGUGUAACAGAGAUCAACAAAUGCCAAGUGUUGGAGGAAAAUUUACAUGGGGAUAUGAAGAGAAGCAUCAAUUUUGAUAAGUAGGAUCAUUCCAAUAUUACCUACUGGGGUAACCACAUAGAUUGCUAGAAAUGCUAUGGAGAGGAUAUGCCAAGACUUGUGUUGACCAGCAAAUCCCAGGAGAAUGAAUUCAGUCACUUCAGUGCCAUUAUUUUGUUCCAUGGCUAGCAUAGAUUAAAUAUCAGCUGAAAAUAUGCAAAGAAAGAAGCAAAUAGAAAGAGAAAGCUAAAAUCAUUGUUAUCUUUUAACUUAUUUCAGAUUUGGAAAUGUCUUAAUAUUUGGUUUCAUAGUGGGGUCAGCAUGUACUUUCUGUGACAUGAUUGACUUCUAUUUUAAAGGCUGAAACUUGACAGCCAGCUUAGAAUUUCAUCUACAGUUUGUACAAAUUGCAAUGGAGCAGUUGCUAUAUUCCCGGGGUACAAACUGAUUGGCAAUUCAAAAAUAUAUCGGUUAAGAAAUCUAUGAAAUAUUCUUUUAUUUAAUUAUGACUUCUUUUAUGUUCUUUAUAUUUUAAUUAAAAUAUCUCAAUUUACCUAAAUAGUAAUUUUAUAUCUAAAAAUCUUGACUUCUUCUUAGGGUUCUAUAUGACCUUGUUUCAACUUAUCUCCAUAUUUUCAUUUUACCCUUUUCCCCUUCUUACUAACUCCACCAUGGCCAUCAUGACUCAUGGCUAUGUAGAACUCUUCACGGAAGUAUUUAUCCAAGUAUCUGUGCCAAAUGAUCUUAUUUUAAAAAUAAUUCCCAAUCUGUUAUCCAGUUAUGGAUAGAUACCAAAUUGCUUACAAUUUGUCUCCGAUACAAGUAACUCAGUGUGAAAAUUUCUCAGUGAUGUACUCCUAGAGACAAAAUUGUUGAAUCUGAGGAUAUGCCCACAUUUAACUUGACAAGCAUUGCAGAUCACUUUCCACAAUGGAGGCACCAGUAAACAGUCUUACUAAUUGCGUGUGGGAAUUCCGAUAUCCACACUUCCUUGUGAACACUGGUAUUUUUACUUUUUUCUUUUCUUGGGCCACAAAACAGGUGUAAAGUAGCAUACCAUUUUAAUUUUUUCCUCUAACUGCAAAUGUAAUAUCCUUCUUAGAAUUUUGGAAUUCUAUUGUUCUGUAAUUUGCCUGUUCCUAUUUUUUUUACAAAUAUUUCUAUUGAGUUGAUUUAUAAAUGUUCUUUUUAACUUAUCAGUUGACUUGACAAAAAUUUCCAAACAUUGUAUUAUCUAUUAACUUUGUCUAUAAUAUGCUUUUCAUGGA
rnacentral:lncRNA from 1 species